CUAAACCUGCUGUGUACGUGAUGUUGCGCCCAUCGUUUUGAGCCAACAAGUUUACAACGGGAACUAACUUGCGGCGCUAAGGUGAUAGGCUUGAGCCAAGACCUGAUAGCCACUUAGGUUUCCACCUGCGAAAGCAGGUUCAAAACACCGCACACACGGCAUAGUGGGUUUAUC
rnacentral:other from 1 species